rnacentral:pre_miRNA from 1 species
AGAGAGAUAGCUGGGUCAAAUGGUGGUUCCAUUCCCAGAUUUCCAAGGAAUCUCCAUACUGCUUUCCAUAUUGGCUGUACCAAUUUACAGUCCCACCAGCAAU